rnacentral:rRNA from 1 species
GACGGAGGAUGCAAGCGUUAUCCGGAAUUAUUGGGCGUAAAGCGUCCGCAGGUGGACAUACAAGUCUGCUGUCAAAGUGCAGAGCUUAACUCUGUAAAGGCGGUGGAAACUGUAGGUCUUGAGUAUGGUAGGGGUAGAGGGAAUUCCCGGUGUAGCGGUGAAAUGCGUAGAUAUCGGGAAGAACACCAGUGGCGAAGGCGGCUCACUGGCCCGAUACUGACGCUGAGGUGCGAAAGCGUGGGGAGCAAACAGG